GAUUGUCUCUGACAUGUGCCUCAUCCUAAACCAGCAAAAGAUUAAAAGGUUUCAAGAAGAAGUAUACUGUCUCCCCCCUGAUAUUGUGAACAUGGCCAUUGCAAAUCAUCCAGAAGGGGUAUUCUUACAGCCUAAAAACAAUAAGCCAUUCAGGGUGGAAGACUACCCAAUGUUUAUACCCUUCUUGGACCUUAAAAAAUUAGCAUCGCAUCGUUAUAUUUUUGCACCUGUUUGCCAUUCACAACAUUGGUGGUUAUGGUUGGCUGAUACAAGAAAGCGGAAAUUUUAUAUACUCGACCCAUAUCACACGACAUCUCCGUCCGAUGAGAGAAUGGCCCUAAAUAAAUUCAUUGUAAGCUGGUUUUGUGUUCUGUAUUUUAAUAGUU